rnacentral:rRNA from 1 species
CAGUCGCGCGGUAAUACAGAGGGUGCGAGCGUUAAUCGGAUUUACUGGGCGUAAAGCGUGCGUAGGCGGCUUCUUAAGUCGGAUGUGAAAUCCCUGAGCUUAACUUAGGAAUUGCAUUCGAUACUGGGAAGCUAGAGUAUGGGAGAGGAUGGUAGAAUUCCAGGUGUAGCGGUGAAAUGCGUAGAGAUCUGGAGGAAUACCGAUGGCGAAGGCAGCCAUCUGGCCUAAUACUGACGCUGAGGUACGAAAGCAUGGGGAGCAAACAGGAUUAGAUACCCGCGUAGUCCCUGUCUCUUAUACA